UAGUCCCUUAGAGUAGGCAAACGAGCACUUAAUGAGGUGCAAACGCUUCCUUGGGUCGAGGCCAUUUGUUUUCUUGAUAAGGUGGGAGAGAGAAGGCAGCACGGCUAUCGUUCAAGUUAUCCAACGUAGCUGUGUAGUCACGAAACUACACGAAGGGUUUCGGGAAAUGACGCACUUCCGGGUGCGUCCGAGAUACACUUCCCCUUAUCUGAGGCGUGAAAGACUCGAUCAUUUCGUCCGUGAUCGUCUACUGACUUAGAAGUCCCCGCGUUUGUUAGCUAGUGUUUCGUGAGCCAAUUUAGGCCAAAGUGUGCGUAGGGAAUUGUGUGCGAUUAGUAGAACCUUAAGAAGCUCUAAACGAAGGUUGGCUUUUGUUUCAAUCCCACAGUUCCUCGCACCCAAGCGCGACGACUUCUGCUCCCCAACGGACGAAGAAUUCCCGGCAAUCGCCGAACCGCCGGAAGCGGACGGAUCCGUCUCCAUAUCUGUCCGGGAGGCCCGGGGACCUUCGAGUGGAAGAAUUCCACAUGCUGGUUCGUCCAUUGUCCAGCACAGCCGCAUCAACCGCCAAAACCGCCAUCGCAUUGGUAGGAGCAACCGCCAUUGCGUACCUCAGCUCUGUGAUUGCCACCGAUUGAUCAGCCAAGCCAGUGGGAUCAUCGACCCUAGCAGCAGGUCAUCGACUGCUGCUCAGUAAGCCAACGACAUCUCGGUGAGUCAAACCUUUUCUUUUUUUGAACGGAGUGCGGCGUCCGUUGAGGGCGCCGCGGAGGAUUUUUUUGCCAGUCUUAGACUGAAGACCGAAAGGUAGCUGCAAAGCCAACAAACCCGCUUUUGAAGAGUCGGAACCCGUUGAACGACUUCUGCGGAUCAACGUCUUGGCUCCGUGAGAAAUGCGUGCGUGAAACGCCAUCGUUCACCACCGCCAAUCAGUUUCGGGGAAUAGGAGCGCAGCCCAUUACACUGCUGUUCUGCCUAGGAAAAUGACGUCAUUAGAACAUUGAGAGCACUGAGCACAGAUAGUCAGAUAGGGAGGAGUUAGAAUUCGCACACACGCUAGGAAGUAGUAGAGAGGAACGAACACACACUAUGAUACACCAAAUUUGAAUGUUGUACCCUACUGUUUCCAAUAAACGUUAAUUAUAUGUCGUUAGAAUGAUAAGCCAAUAAUAAUCGUUUCGUUACAAAUCAAAAUAAAUGUACAGUUCAGAGUUUCCUUCCUAGCUAUUUGAUAUUUUAAUUGCGUUUAUCAUCACAUAACAUGUUAGUAGCUUCGUUGUCCCGUCCUCCACGUCAGUGAGUUUGAUUGGGUUGUUGAGUGUCUUCCAGGUCAGUGAGAAAUCUAGUGAUGAACGGAGAGAGUCUGCCGAUGAUGAGAACUUCUCACUAGUGAGAUCUUGAGGGUACGGGUGGUCUCUCACCGUUCUCUGAGUGUCGUCGUGACUGUGUAGUUAUGUUGCGAUAAUAGGGUGUUCCCGUUUGGACGUUUUAGUGCGUAGCCAGCUGGAUCGAUCCGUAAAUCCUUUCAGGAAUUUUCAAAUGGACUCGCCCUUAGGGGGUCUCAUCCGGGCAAUAUAAUAUCGGGCGCGUGGUCUCCCUUGUGGAGUGGCGCUUAAGCCACGCGUUUUAUGCUGGAUCGCCCAGCAGCGGCUA